rnacentral:rRNA from 1 species
GAUGAACGCUGGCGGCGGGCCUAAUACAUGCAAGUCGAGCGAACGGACGAGAAGCUGGCUUCUCUGAUGUUAGCGGCGGACGGGUGAGUAACACGUGGAUAACCUACCUAUAAGACUGGGAUAACUUCGGGAAACCGGAGCUAAUACCGGAUGAUAUUUUGAACCGCAUGGUUCAAAAGUGAAAGACGGUCUUGCUGUCACUUAUAGAUGGAUCCGCGCUGCAUUAGCUAGUUGGUAAGGUAACGGCUUACCAAGGCAAGGAUGCAUAGCCGACCUGAGAGGGUGAUCGGCCACCCUGGAACUGAGAAACGGUACAGACUCCUACGGGAGGCAGCAGUAGGGAAUCUUCCGCAAUGGGCGAAAGCCUGACGGAGCAAAGCCGCGUGAGUGAUGAAGGUCUUCGGAUCGUAAAACUCUGUUAUUAGGGAAGAACAUAUGUGUAAGUAACUGUGAACAUCUUGACGGUACCUAAUCAGAAAGCCACGGCUAACUACGUG